rnacentral:rRNA from 1 species
UACAGAGGUCUCAAGCGUUGUUCGGAUUCAUUGGGCGUAAAGGGUGUGUAGGUGGCGCGCUAAGUCGGGUGUGAAAUUUCGGAGCUUAACUUCGAAACUGCAUUCGAUACUGGCGUGCUUGAGGACUGGAGAGGAGACUGGAAUUUACGGUGUAGCAGUGAAAUGCGUAGAUAUCGUAAGGAAGACCAGUGGCGAAGGCGGGUCUCUGGACAGUUCCUGACGCUGAGGCACGAAGGUCAGGGGAGCAAACGGG